GACGAACGCUGGCGGCGUGCCUAAUACAUGCAAGUUGAGCGCUGAAGGUUGGUACUUGUACCAACUGGAUGAGCAGCGAACGGGUGAGUAACGCGUGGGGAAUCUGCCUUUGAGCGGGGGACAACAUUUGGAAACGAAUGCUAAUACCGCAUAAAGACUUUAAACACAAGUUUUAAGCUUGAAAGAUGCAAUUGCAUCACUCAAAGAUGAUCCCGCGUUGUAUUAGCUAGUUGGUGAGGUAAAGGCUCACCAAGGCGAUGAUACAUAGCCGACCUGAGAGGGUGAUCGGCCACAUUGGGACUGAGACACGGCCCAAACUCCUACGGGAGGCAGCAGUAGGGAAUCUUCGGCAAUGGACGAAAGUCUGACCGAGCAACGCCGCGUGAGUGAAGAAGGUUUUCGGAUCGUAAAACUCUGUUGGUAGAGAAGAACGUUGGUGAGAGUGGAAAGCGCAUCAAGUGACGGUAACUACCCAGAAAGGGACGGCUAACUACGUG
rnacentral:rRNA from 1 species